rnacentral:rRNA from 1 species
GUGGGGAAUAUUGGACAAUGGGCGAAAGCCUGAUCCAGCAAGGCCGCGUGAGUGAUGAAGGCCUUAGGGUUGUAAAGCUCUUUUACCAGGGAUGAUAAUGACAGUACCUGGAGAAUAAGCUCCGGCUAACUCCGUGCCAGCAGCCGCGGUAAUACGGAGGGAGCUAGCGUUGUUCGGAAUUACUGGGCGUAAAGCGCACGUAGGCGGUUACUCAAGUCAGAGGUGAAAGCCCGGGGCUCAACCCCGGAACUGCCUUUGAAACUAGGUAACUAGAAUCUUGGAGAGGUCAGUGGAAUUCCGAGUGUAGAGGUGAAAUUCGUAGAUAUUCGGAAGAACACCAGUGGCGAAGGCGACUGACUGGACAAGUAUUGACGCUGAGGUGCGAAAGCGUGGGGAGCAAACAGGAUUAGAUACCCCGGUAGUCC